rnacentral:rRNA from 1 species
GACGAACGCUGGCGGCGUGCUUAACACAUGCCAGUCGAACGGAAAGGCCCUGCUUUUGUGGGGUGCUCGAGUGGCGAACGGGUGAGUAACACGUGAGUAACCUGCCCUUGACUUUGGGAUAACUUCAGGAAACUGGGGCUAAUACCGGAUAGGAGCUCCUGCUGCAUGGUGGGGGUUGGAAAGUUUCGGCGGUUGGGGAUGGACUCGCGGCUUAUCAGCUUGUUGGUGGGGUAGUGGCUUUCCAAGGCUUUGACGGGUAGCCGGCCUGAGAGGGUGACCGGGAAAAAGGGGACUGAGAGAGGGACCAGAGGGCAAGGGGAGGCAGGAGGGGGGAAGAUUGAAAAAUGGGGGGAAGCGUGAGGAAGAAAAGCGGGGGGCGGGAAGACGGCCUUCGGGGUGAAAAAAGCAUUAGAAUGAGAAGAAGCGGGAGUGACGGUAAUGGGUAAAGAAGCACCGGCUAACUACGUG